rnacentral:rRNA from 1 species
GCGAAAACUUUACAAUGCUGGCAACAGCGAUAAGGGAACCUCGAGUGCCAGGUUACAAAUCUGGCUGUCGAGAUGCCUAAAAAGCAUUUCAUAGCAAGGGCCGGGCAAGACCGGUGCCAGCCGCCGCGGUAACACCGGCGGCUCGAGUGGUAACCGUUAUUAUUGGGUCUAAAGGGUCUGUAGCCGGCCGGAUAAGUCUCUUGAGAAAUCUGGCAGCUUAACUGUCAGGCUUUCAGGAGAUACUGUCUGGCUCGAGGCCGGGAGAGGUGAGAGGUACUUCAGGGGUAGGGGUGAAAUUUUGUAAUCCUUGAAGGACAACCAGAGGCGAAAGCGUCUCACCAGAACGGACCUGACGGCAAGGGACGAAAGCUAGGGGCACGAACC